AUUGAACGCUGGCGGCAGGCUUAACACAUGCAAGUCGAGCGGAGCGAGGGUGCUUGCACCUUAGCUUAGCGGCGGACGGGUGAGUAACGCUUAGGAAUCUGCCUAUUAGUGGGGGACAACAUUCCGAAAGGAAUGCUAAUACCGCAUACGCCCUACGGGGGAAAGCAGGGGAUCUUCGGACCUUGCGCUAAUAGAUGAGCCUAAGUCGGAUUAGCUAGUUGGUGGGGUAAAGGCCUACCAAGGCGACGAGCUGUAGCGGGUCUGAGAGGAUGAUCCGCCACACUGGGACUGAGACACGGCCCAGACUCCUACGGGAGGCAGCAGUGGGGAAUAUUGGACAAUGGGCGGAAGCCUGAUCCAGCCAUGCCGCGUGUGUGAAGAAGGCCUUUUGGUUGUAAAGCACUUUAAGCGAGGAGGAGGCUCUUAAGGUUAAUACCCUUGAUGAGUGGACGUUACUCGCAGAAUAAGCACCGGCUAACUCUGUGCCAGCCGCCGCCGUAACAC
rnacentral:rRNA from 1 species